rnacentral:rRNA from 3 species
AGACCCGAAACCCGGUGAUCUAGCCAUGGGCAGGUUGAAGGUUGGGUAACACUAACUGGAGGACCGAACCGACUAAUGUUGAAAAAUUAGCGGAUGACCUGUGGCUGGGGGUGAAAGGCCAAUCAAACCGGGAGAUAGCUGGUUCUCCCCGAAAGCUAUUUAGGUAGCGCCUCGUGAAUUCAUCUCCGGGGGUAGAGCACUGUUUCGGCUAGGGGGCCAUCCCGGCUUACCAACCCGAUGCAAACUGCGAAUACCGGAGAAUGUUAUCACGGGAGACACACGGCGGGUGCUAACGUCCGUCGUGAAGAGGGAAACAACCCAGACCGCCAGCUAAGGUCCCAAAGUCAUGGUUAAGUGGGAAACGAUGUGGGAAGGCCCAGACAGCCAGGAUGUUGGCUUAGAAGCAGCCAUCAUUUAAAGAAAGCGUAAUAGCUCACUGGUCGAGUCGGCCUGCGCGGAAGAUGUAACGGGGCUAAACCAUGCACCGAAGCUGCGGCAGCGACACUCAGGUGUUGUUGGGUAGGGGAGCGUU